rnacentral:lncRNA from 1 species
UAUUUGUAGACUUCUUCCACAAAUGUUAGAGUAAGAUGUUUGUAUGUAAUUUCUUUUUCUUUGUGUGUACUAUGUGUUAGGUCACAGCAGAUAUGACAGUAGUCAAGUUGGUUUCUGUGGUUUUGGAGCUUAAAGGAAUUCAGCAGGCCAGUGAAGAGUUCUGGAGCUGCUAUGAAGUUCUAGAGAAAGAUGACAUGGGUAAGAUUUCAGCCUAUUCUGGAAGUGGCACUAAUAAUAAUAAAAGAGAUAAAAGCCUUUCCUGUUUUUUUUUAUAUGAAUUUCCUGCUUUAGUUCUAUGUUAAGAGGCAACAGCUACCAAUUUGAAAUACAAAUCGAUCUAAAGCUUCUGGUGCAGUACAAUAAUGAACUAUGACACGAUUUGAAUUCCUUCAUUAUGGUCCAAAGUUAAUUUUAACUUGGUUGUUGUUUAAUUUGUAAUAACUGCACUAACUAUGUACUAACUAUUCUGUAGUACAAAAACGGUCUAAUGUUCAAAAUGCCCAGUAUAGGCAAAUUCAGACAACUGGCAAUAAACACAGUCGUCAAGAUUUGUUGGAGCAGUGUGGUAUCUUUGUUGGCAUCUGUUGCUGUUGAAUCUGCGUCUCUCGGAUCAUGGAAUGUCUGAGAAGUGACAAUGUACUCAGUAGGCUGUCAGUGCAGUGUGAAUUUUAUGAAUAUGAGACCUUAUCUAUUGAACGUGACUCUGGAUGUGGUUUCUGUGACUAAUACAUACAGUUAUUUGAAUGCAUUUAUUGUAUUAUGGUUUAUUUUAUAAUAGAGAGAACCCUGCAUUACCAGGAAAGAGUGCUGCCAAUCUAUUUUUCACUUAGCUGUCACUCUCACCUGCUGAUCAAGAGGAAUCACUAUAUUAUCAGCAUCAUGAGGUACCUGGAGAAUGUAGAGAAUCUGUGUAAAACUGGGCCUUUGCGGGUUUGUGAGGUUAAAAGUGAAAGUAGCAAAACUUUCCACAGUCGUCACUGUGAGCUUUCUGGCACCACGUUCAGACUGCACAAGGAACAACAGGGUUCUCAGUGUGAGAGGGAAUAUCCUGUCAAAGAGCUCAAGCUCUAUCAUGGUUGCCGGAGCAAAAAUGCACCCACCCACACCGUAAUAAACCGAGAGCACCUUAACACUACUGUACUUCUAUCUACAGCUUACGAUCUCUCAUAA